rnacentral:rRNA from 1 species
GGUGUGCUUCAUGACUGGGGUAAAGUCGGUAACAAGGUAGCCAUAGGGGAACCUGUGGCUGGAUCACCUCCGUUU